CUUUCAUUCACGAUCAGAGUCUCUCUCUCCUUCCGUCUCUCACUCUCCGUCUGUCUCUCUCUCCAUAGCCGGCUUCUCGCUCCGGCGGUCUAAGAGGCUGAAGGAAACAUCGUCAGAUGCUGUGCAAGGGGCAGAAGAUCUUUAAGGGACUACAAACAAGCUAGGAGGCUGUGCCAGGUGUAUGAACCAAUCAA